GCACCCUUAGCUCAGACAGGUUAGAGCGUUCGAUUCACAUUCGAAAGGUCGGAAGUUCGAAUCUUCCAGGGUGCA
rnacentral:tRNA from 1 species